rnacentral:rRNA from 1 species
GAUGAACGCUAGCGGCAGGCCUAAUACAUGCAAGUCGAACGGUAAGGCCCUUUCGGGGGUACACGAGUGGCGGACGGGUGCGUAACGCGUAUGCAACAUACCUUCAAGCGGGGGAUAUGCCAGGGAAACUUGGUGCAACACCCCAUAGCAUUUCGGGACCGCAUGGUCUUGGGAUUAAAUAUUUAUAGCUUGGAGAUUGGCAUGCGUGACAUUAGCUAGUUGGCGGGUAACGGCCCACCAAGGCGACGAUGUCUAGCUGGUCUGAGAGGAUGAUCAGCCACACUGGGACUGAGACACGGCCCAGACUCCUACGGGAGGCAGCAGUAGGGAAUAUUGGACAAUGGGGGGAACCCUGAUCCAGCCAUGCCGCGUGAGGGAAGAAGGUCCUCUGGAUUGUAAACCUCUUUUGGCGGGGGACAAACCUGCACUAUACGUGCAGCUGAGGGUACCCGCAGAAUAAGCACCGGCUAACUCCGUGCCAGCAGCCGCGGUAAU